rnacentral:rRNA from 1 species
UACGUAGGGUGCAAGCGUUGUCCGGAAUUAUUGGGUUUAAAGGGUGCGUAGGCGGCCUAUUAAGUCAGGGGUGAAAUACGGUGGCUCAACCAUCGCAGUGCCUUUGAUACUGAUGGGCUUGAAUCCAUUUGAAGUGGGCGGAAUAAGACAAGUAGCGGUGAAAUGCAUAGAUAUGUCUUAGAACUCCGAUUGCGAAGGCAGCUCACUAAGCUGGUAUUGACGCUGAUGCACGAAAGCGUGGGGAGCAAACAGG